AUGAAACUUGCCUGCAUGCUGCAGACAGUCUGCUCCUCUUUGUUCCUGGAGGCGACAGAAUGCUACUUGUCUGCGUUCAGGACUGAAGCAUUUUCAAGGUUGACGAUGCUGCGAUGAGAGGGGAGUAGACCUCGCGGCCGACCAAGAAGCAUGCUGGAGGGAUAAUAUAUCCCAUCAGCCCCCAGAGUGCCUUGAUAUUACCGAAGAGGAGCUGGAAGAAGUGGCUGAAAAGAAGAAUGUCUUUCUUUGCCUGCAACCACAAUGACCUGAACUCAGAUAAGGGGUAGAAGAUGGAUGGAUAGCAUUUUUGAGACGUGGGAGAGGAAUGCUCAUAGUUUCAUCAUUCUCGUGAACUGGCAAUCACCUGUGGAAAAAGUCGGUUCUCUCCAAUCUGUAGACCAAGGCAUAUAAACUACCACACUCCGAGAGCUUUAUUGUGUUCUGUUUGUCACAUACUGUUUGCUGUUUUCUUCUCAUUCCUCCUGCCUCUGUCACUGAACC